rnacentral:rRNA from 1 species
UAGGGAAUCUUCGGCAAUGGGGGCAACCCUGACCGAGCAACGCCGCGUGAGUGAAGAAGGUUUUCGGAUCGUAAAGCUCUGUUGUAAGUCAAGAACGGGUGUGAGAGUGGAAAGUUCACACUGUGACGGUAGCUUACCAGAAAGGGACGGCUAACUACGUGCCAGCAGCCGCGGUAAUACGUAGGUCCCGAGCGUUGUCCGGAUUUAUUGGGCGUAAAGCGAGCGCAGGCGGUUUGAUAAGUCUGAAGUUAAAGGCUGUGGCUCAACCAUAGUUCGCUUUGGAAACUGUCAAACUUGAGUGCAGAAGGGGAGAGUGGAAUUCCAUGUGUAGCGGUGAAAUGCGUAGAUAUAUGGAGGAACACCGGUGGCGAAAGCGGCUCUCUGGUCUGUAACUGACGCUGAGGCUCGAAAGCGUGGGGAGCGAACAGGAUUAGAUACCCUGGUAGUCCACGCCGUAAACGAUGAGUGCUAGGUGUUGGAUCCUUUCCGGGAUUCAGUGCCGCAGCUAACGCAUUAAGCACUCCGCCUGGGGAGUACGACCGCAAGGUUGAAA